rnacentral:rRNA from 1 species
GACGAAAGAGGGCGGCGUGUCUAAUACAUGCAAGUAGAACGCUGAAGAGAGGAGCUUGCUCUUCUUGGAUGAGUUGCGAACGGGUGAGUAACGCGUAGGUAACCUGCCUGUAGCGGGGGAUAACUAUUGGAAACGAUAGCUAAUACCGCAUAAAAUUGAUUAUUGCAUGAUAAUUAAUUGAAAGAUGCAACUGCAUCACUACCAGAUGGACCUGCGUUGUAUUAGCUAGUUGGUGAGGUAACGGCUCACCAAGGCGACGAUACAUAGCCGACCUGAGAGGGUGAUCGGCCACACUGGGACUGAGACACGGCCCAGACUCCUACGGGAGGCAGCAGUAGGGAAUCUUCGGCAAUGGGGGGAACACUGACCGAGCAACGCCGCGUGAGUGAAGAAGGUUUUCGGAUCGUAAAGCUCUGUUGUAAGAGAAGAACGGGUGUGAGAGUGGAAAGUUCACACUGUGACGGUAUCUUACCGGAAAGGGACGGCUAACUACGUG